GUCGGGCGAGACGGCGCAUCCAUAACAGAUCAAAAUCGAUUGCAUCGCAUCCAGAGCCGGCGGCGGGCGACGAGCCUUCCGAGUUCCGAUUAACUUCGUCUGAACUCUGAUGAAUAUGUUCCUGUCGCAAUCACCAAAACAGGGAUCGUUACUGCGUUAGAGAUCGGUCCUUGCCUCCUUGGUUAAGUAUCAUAGUAUAGCAGGACAUGAAACGAGGAAGAAGAUUGAUUACGAGGAUAUUUGAAGAUUUCAAUUCUUAAAGUACUAUAAAAGAAUGAUUUGUUCAAAUAAAUAUUAUGCAACCAGGAGUUGAAUAGGUAAAUUUUUUAAUUAUGUAUCUAAUUGUUAUGUAAGACAUUGUAUCAUAUAUAUUAUUAUUGCUCGUUUGUUUCUUUUUA